rnacentral:lncRNA from 1 species
UGAUAUGAAUAGGUCUGGGUUCUACUUGUUGAAUAAUUCACAUAGACUUUAUUCAGCUUUCAUUCGAGGUAUCUGAGAUACUACUGGAAAAUUACUGUCUAGAGUCAGAAUCAACAACAGAUCAUGAGUAAACAACGAAGCUACCCGCGAACUAGUUUCCAGAUUUUCAAUUUUCUCAAGGAUGCUCCAGAAAGCAUAGCUAUAACCGACUCAAAGUGUGUAAGGACUAUUUAUUCGCUAGGCACGGCUAGUGGUCAGUUGCUGACGGAUUCAUCUGAGGUCAGACUGAAUCAAUUUACAUAUUAGUUGUCCAAGAUCCGGUUGACCGCACUGAUAGCUCGACGUCGUGGCUGUAGCACUUUGGCAUUUCAUUGUGCGACGGAAGCGUCUUAGAAUGUACCCACUUGCCAAACGCGGCCAUCCCUCGUCUCGUAGUCCUAUGCGUCAUAGUAUCCUUUUCACUUGUGUGGACAAACAGAUCACAUACACGCCGACGCCUCAGUGCCUUAAACAGCUACAGAAUCUUGACACGGCUUGCAAACUCUCAGGCGAGUUUGAUCGUCUGCCGUGGAGGAACACAAGGAAUUUUCUGAACGUCCUAUUUCUGAGAUGAUUUUCUGCUAUUCUAAAUGCUCCUUCUUAAAUAACGUACGUGAUAUGGACGGAUUCCUAAUAGCAAGACCCUGCAAGGUGUCUCCGUGUCCUUCUAUUGCCUUUAAUAAGAUUUUUCCUUUGUCUUCUCCGGUUCCGAAAAACGAUAUAUAUUGACACAUUUGAUCAACCAUAGUACACCCAUUUCCAUUGAUGUUGGUCAACCUUGAGAAAUGCCUUGUGCCUUUGAACGGCGCUAUAUAUCGACCAUGUCGUUGUUUACAGCAAAAAUACGCUUGAAGCUCAAUUACGUUUAUGGCACGUGCAGGAAACCUAUCUUUAUCACAUCGGAGGCGUACUAUUAUUGACCAUCUGUUUUCCUUUACGAACGAUCUUCUCAUCGCUUCAAAGUUAACAGUUCGUACAAGGCGACAUUUUCGCUAUGUAGAAGAAAACAGUUGAGGUGCCAUGGGAGAAUAUAGCCGGCGGAAUCGACAUAACUGGUCUGCUGAUAUCCUUUUUCCCCAUGGAUGUUCGCCUCAUUUAGACACAGCAGUGGAGGUGGUUGGGGACGUUCGUGACGUCUGUAUUAUAGGUCGGAUCGGUGGCUGAGAUAGGUGUAUUUUUCUAUCAUUUCAGUUUGGUUUUUGUUGCUUGCGUCGAAAACUACCACCAGCGGCGGUGCUACUUCAGUCGUCGUCGAAUACAACGAACGUUACAAACUUGACACAGAAAAGAAGCGCUGAUGGGUGGGUUGUGACGGGAAUGAUGUUGGGAAUUAGAACGCAAGCAGGAUUGUCGGGGCAGAUGCUCAGCAGUUGGUAUGACGGAAAGUCUGUAUCGACGCUACAAUAGUUUCAGCAGGGAGAGGAAAUUUGACGAAGAGAGCAUCGCUAACAUGUGGCCUGCGCGGCUUGUGAUGCGUCGAGAUGUUAGAGUAGGGCGUUUGGCUUAAGUGACUAAGCUCUAGGAGAAGGCAUGAGAUGACGGGGGGAGUAGCACCUUCACUCGUAACAAUGUUACCUUCGGCGCUAAGUCAUCCGCUUAGAGACGCCGUUUAUAGAGCGUUUUGUGGAUGGCGCGACGCAAAAUAGGUCUCUGCAGGUGGGUGAGCGUGGAUGAUGAGACGGUGCAGCGAUAGUCAACGAAAUGCGCUCAUGGCUUCGACAGCAGGACAGCUAAGUGGGUCUGACAAUGGCGAGUCCUGCGUGAGGACUCACCAUUGUCAGUUUAAGAGAGGCGGUCUUCUAAGAGAGACGACGGCUAGUUAGGAGUUACAACAGCCGUAGCAAAAAACCAAUUUAAUGUUAGCCAAAAAGCGAUGCAAUUUUAUGCGAUUUAGUACACUACAGGUUAGCCGCUGUACCGGAGACAAAUCUUUUGGUUGUCUGUUAGGGGCGAAACGUAGAGUUUGGGGCAGCUUAAUUAAGGACAGAUAGACAAAAAGAUUUUCCACCAAGAAGACGCCACCGUCCGACAUCGUUGGUCACAUCUGCUGCGCCUGUCGCAGAGUUAGUAACACGUAAGGCAUCGAAGACGGUGGAGCGUUACGCACUAACCUCUAUCUCUACGAAGCGUAUGGCAAAGAAUUCAAGAGGAGUUUGAGAAAUGAGCUUGCAAAGUAGCAUAUUCUCUACACAUAUGAACGGAGAUGUGGCAAGGGCUCACGCACAGUUAUACGAUGUACCUGAUUGUCGACCUGCGUUGAAAAAGGAGAAAGGUACACAUGACGAUAAAAAAAACAAUAAGCCUCAACCUAUACACAGGCCAAACUUGACAUCUGUCAGUAAUCUGUGACACUAUGGUAUGACAAAACUAUAAUAUACGUACCGGAAUAGCUAUAUAUAUUUUCCGUGUAAGAUGUUUGACAUUUUAAGUAAAGAAACAGAGCAAAAAAAAUUGUAGACCGCCCAUUCAUCUACUAAUUGGCAUGGAGCAUUGAUUAUGCAUUUCUGUAUGUCGAGAGCGGGCGGUUCGUCUGAUCCAGAGUCAGAAAUAUGGUGUGAUAUGUCAAUAGGGUCUAGGCCGCCAAUACACAUUGCUGAGUCGUCUGUGAUAGUAAUCGUGAGCAACAAGCGUGCCAGUUACCACUGGUUCGAAUCUCGGCAUUGACAGAUGAUUCCAAAGGCUUUACGAAGAAGACAACAGUAAAAACCAGUUAAUACUGCAGAACCAUUUUAUACAGACGUACACAAAUUCGGCGUUGGGCCUGGGCUUGUGGGAAUGUUAUACCUAGAUGUCCCUGUGUACGAGGUGGGUCUCUUGUCGCCGGGACUCAUACUUACAAUUCAUCACUCGUAUCGUAAAUAGGGUGACCUCGUCAGAGUCGU